rnacentral:lncRNA from 1 species
GGUGUGAGUUUGAUAGAGAGUAAAGAGAGAGAGAGGAAAGAAAGAAAGAAAGAUAGAAUGUGAAGUGGGAGAGAAGGAAGGAAGGAAGGAAGGAACAAACAAACGAACGAAGGAACGAAGGAAGGAGGGAGGGAGGGAGGGAGGGAGGGAGAGGAGGGAAAGUGGGAAGGAAGGAAGGAAGGAAGGAGGGAAGGAACAGAGGAAGUUAGAGUUUGAGUGAGGAAGUAUAUUAAGCACUUAAACUGUAUAUCAAGCAUUAUGCUAAACAUUGUAAAUAAAUGUGUAUUAAGUGAGACAGUUUCUGCCUUAAAGAACUUACAUUUUAGUGAAAAGAGAAAACACAUAAAGGCAUACUAGCCAGAGGUUGAUUGGGUUAAUUUUCUGAGCUUGUCUAACCUUGCUCCAGCAUGCCCCUUGUUAUAACUAUAAAAUAAGGUGAUCCCAGACAAGGGAAGUCACUGUAUUUUACCUUCUUGACAAGAGCAAUGUAAAUCCAAAGACAAAAAAGUAGCCCUAUCUCAGACACCCCAGACCAACCACAUACUAGCAGAUUAACAAGUCUGUCUCUCUUCCCCUGAAAUAUAAUAAACUUUCUCAGAGACUGUAAUAGUGGGAGAGACAGAGGAGGCUUUAAAAUGCUAGGACCAGGAAACCAGUUGCUGGAGGGGACUAAAUUUUAGGUAGUACCUUCCUCCUUCAUCCACUAAAGCUAGACAACCUUAAUGGAGUCUGGACCUGACCAGACAAGGUUUUACUCUGCUUUUGGCCAUUCCUCCUUGAUUACAAGACCAAUAACUGACCCAUUAAGACCCAAAGACAUCAGUUAUGGGGUGUUCAGGAAGGAUGAGCAUCUCUGGUGUGAGGGUUUGCUGAAUGUUAUAGACUAACAUGUGGAGAUGCUAAACAAGAAUCCCUGUAGGCAACUGCUGGUACUUCUCCUUGCAUGGUGGAUUGCUGAUGUGAACAUAAACUCUUUUAACCAACACCAGAGUAAGACAAUCAACAACAAAAUAGCCAAUUCUUUGCCCACAAGAAAUGCCAUCUCAUAAAUUUCAUUGUUUACAAUUAAGGAAGAAUACAAUUACCUUUGAAGUGAAUGUAAAUACCAGCACUCACAAUGAUAAUACAUGGCAAUCAUUCAAUUAUCCAUAUUUUGUACCCAUUAAAUUCAUACAACAUCUUUCUAA